AGGGCUUCGUGGAUGUUGCGUCUGAGAAGACUGGAAGUUGGCCAGAGGCCUCAUGGGGGUCCUGCAGGGACAGUCUCAAGGUGACAGCGGCUGCACCCCGAGCGCGGCCUGAACUGGAAAGGCACCUGCCCCUCUGACAUGGCUUUGCAUAACGUGCAGGAUCUUCACACGUGCUGUGUUCUGCUGGUUCCAGGCCAGUCACCAGAGCUCGUGCAGAUUUGGUGGGGUCCUCCCUCUCAAUGGCAGGUGUCGAAAGAACCUGUGGAUAUGGUCAUAGCCACCCCAGACGUUCACUCCCUACCAAUCCCCUGGUGGUUUCCCCAGCCUUCCCCCAUCUGUACUGAAGAACUGACACCCGCCCUCUGGUUUUAAAAUGUUUAGAAUUUGUAAUAAUUUUAUAGAUACGUAUUUUCUAGAGAGUGAUGUAACAUCCAUAACAAUCUAAAAACAGAUUUUCUAGGAAGUUACCGUGAAAUCUACAAAGUCAAUAAAACAUUUCAUCCCAGGUGCUGAGCUGUGAGGAGAGUAUCAGGGUUUGGGCUCUGCUGCCUUUCCCCAAAGAACUCACUUGGGAAGCAGUCAGAUUAGAAGAUAAUUCUGAAACAAAUGCCAGCCACUCUUUAAUUACAAAAAUGACGGAUGAGCUGUAUCACCAUGUGCCUGAGAAUCAUUGUGUUUUAAAGGACUUGGAUCAUCUUCCUACUGAGACACCCACCAGUGAUACGCAGCUAGCCCUGGCUCCCAGAAAGCCGCAGCCUUGCAGGUACAGGAGAGUGAGGUACAGGUGGGGAUCAUGAUGCCUGCUCCAAGUCUGGCUCUGUUUGCAGGUGGCCCCAGCUGCUCCGUGAGCUCUGCAGCACACCCUUUCCUACCCUCUUCUGCCCCAGGAUUGUGCUGGAAGUGCUGGUUGUGCUCCAAAGCAUCAGCAAGCAGUGUCACCACGUGUCUGGUCAGGUCACCAUUGCCUCGGAGCCGAGACACAGGCAGUGGGUGGAGAGGAUGCUGCGGUCUCGCCAGCGGCAGAACUACCUGUGUAUAUGGAGUAGGAGCUCAAGAUAGGAGGCAGAGGAGCCACACACGCCAAAGCACGAUGGCCACAGCCGAGUGAGUGAGUGAUGUCGAGUUCACACAGAAAAAACAACAACAAAAACCAAGAGAACCUAGAACUGAAAAUGCAUCACAGCAACGAGUGAAGUAGGUAACACGCUUCAUCAUUUGCAGAAAGACUUAGAGUUGCAAACCUGCCUUUUGCGUUCUUCUGUAAAAAGCAGUGACAUUCGCCCCUGAAGAAGCAUCUUGGCCUUUUGGAUGUACUCAGAGUGCUGGUGAAGAACUUAAAGAUUGCUGGGAAGUGUUCUAGGUAACAGGGUUACAGGGUGUAAACAACAUACUGGAAAACCUGGUGGUUACAGUGGACACGUUCCAGGAAGCCCUUACUUGCGGUUUUCGAAGCUGUGGAAUUGUUUGAGAUUGGAGGAGGCGACGGAGGCUACAACGAGGUGGCUCCGGAUACUAAGCUCUGAGCCAGUCUUGGCUCUGAUUCUGACCGUGGCCUCUUUUGCCUCCCCCCAACCCUAAAACUGACACUAACCCUAUUCCCUAACCCCUGCCUGGUACUCCUACCCACACCCUAAAAACCCCAAACCCAAAACCUAUAAACCAUGUGUCUUAGUCCAUUUUCUGUUGCUGUAACAGAAUACCACAGAGCAGAUCAUAAACCAAACGUAUUUCUUCCA